CUCAAUGAGACUGGCGACGAGCC
rnacentral:piRNA from 1 species